CAGAAACAAAAACAAAUAGAUUCUAACUUUCGAGUAAACAAUCGCAUAUCAUAAUUACUCUAUCCCUGACAUGUACAUUGAUUCAAAGUAUCAAAUAUGAUUUAAAAAAAGUUAUUUUCAUAAAACAGUCACUGUAU